AGAUUGUAACGGCUGUGAAUCACUUCAAGAGGUCACUAUUAACCUUGCCAUUCAUUCACAGUUAAAGCAAGAAACACUUCGUCUCAUUUAUUUCCCAUCACCAUCCUCUUCAGCUUCCUCGCAAACUCUCUAAUAUCUCAAACCUGUAAAAAGGGGUCUCGGCACCAUGAUUUUCACAGUUUCAUCUCAAUGUAACACUCAACAUACAGACACAGAACUUGAAUAACAAUGGCGAUUUCCUAGAUAUCGCUUUCCGAGCUGAAGGCCGGACGUGCAACUAAACCGUUUUCACACGCCUUCUCUGUUUUUAGGAAGCUCGGAAUGUGAAGAAAAGUGGUCAAAGUCGACAUGCGACUCUUGGAUGAUAAGUAAUAUCUCAUCCAGGCAUCUGUAUCGGUCUAUCUCCCGAACACAUUCAGACAACUUCUUAGGGAGGGAGCUGUGUACGAAGUGAGUGAGUUUGAAAUAACCAGAUGUAACAAUCAUUUCAAGUUUUGUGACUCCAACUUGGCCAUCCAAUUCAACGAUUUGACUAAGUUCAUCGAGGUGCCUGCUGUCCCUAAUCCUAUCCCAACCGAGAAGUUCAGGCUCCAUAAAUUUGAAGAACUUAUGACUUUGGCAAAUACAAAUGUCCAAUUGCCAGAAAUUAUUGGUGAAGUAAGCAACAUCAGGACAAUAUACAAUGACAAGAGCCAGACUACACAACGUGUUAUGGUCUACAUCAAAAUUGAUAACUACACAACUGUCUUUCUAAGCGUUUUGACAGCCUUGCUGAACUCCUCCACAACAGACUUGAAACUGGUGUCCGCCGGCCAACAGUGAUGCUAGCUACCAGCAUCAACCCAAAGUUAGUUGGAGGUAGCUCCAUAUAAUACGUUUUACUCACACUUGUACGAGCCAACUAUCCAAAGAUGGAAUAAAUCCCUAGCACUUAAAGAUAAUAUCUUCUACUAUUUUCUGUUAGAAUUGAGUUAAAUUAAAAGUGCGCAGAAAAAGAGGUUUCAGGGUACAGAUGGUCAGGAAGUCAAAAGAUUACAGUAUGAAGAUGGUUGGGAAGAACCUUUUGAACUAUGCUUCGUGGUUUGAUUACGUUAGGCUACUGGUGACUGAUGGAAACAAAGAUAGGAUUCGACAAACAUAAGAGAGUGUUAUUGAUAAUAUUCCACUUGCCUAGCAGAAUCAUA